GCCAGGUGGGUUGGGACAUGCUUGUAAUCCCAGUGACUUGGGAGGCUGAGACAGGAGGAUUGCAAGUUGGAGGGCAGCCUGAGCAACUUAACAAGACCCUGUCUCAA
rnacentral:sRNA from 1 species